CCUGUAGUCCCAGCUACUUGGGAGGCUGAGACAGGAGGAUUGCUUGAGUGCAGGAGUUCUGGGCUGUAGUGCGCUAUGCUGAUCGGGUGUCCACACUAACUUCAGCAUCAAUAUGGUGACCUCCUGGGAACAGGGGACAACCAGGUUGCCUAAGGAGGGGUGAACUGGCCCAGGUUGGAAAUGGAGCAGGUCAAAACUCCCGUGCUGAUCAGCUUGCUUUCUUACAGAACUCAAAAGACUACCAGCCCAGGGAUGGUGCCAUCCACAGUGGGUUAAGCCCUUCCACAU
ensembl:misc_RNA Metazoa_SRP Metazoan signal recognition particle RNA